UUCGCCCAGGCUGGGUUUUUCUCCCCAAAAAAGCCUAUUUGCUCUAAUUCGGCUGAUUUGGUUUCUGGUGCCUCUCGACUACCUUACAUUGGUGCGAAACCUGGGAGUAAAGACCCGCCUCGGUGGUAAAGGGCCAACUCCCCGCUUCAAGGGACUCUUCUACAACCGAACCUUGAGCGGUCGAGAACGGCAUGAUCAGUUUUGGACUCGGGUGUUGGCUUCCGUAAGCACGGAAAUGCGGUACAUGGAAAAGCGGUCACCCAGCCACCAAUGGCAGUUAAUAGUUACCGAAACCUGGGCUGAUGAUUCGGGAACCCAUUCGCAGGUUAUAGGUAAAAAGUAUUGUCAGCCUGAAGGCUGCCAAUCUCUGGUGUUGGUUCCUGUAAAACCUUUCACUGCACUCCCCUAUGUGGGCCCACCCCUCCUUUGUUUCCUGUAUGACCAAACCAAAUCUAGCGGUUGCAGUGCUAAAUGGGUAAAAGAAAAUGGAGGCUGCCCAUGGAAUUCCUACGUGAUGCACAAAUACAAAACGGAUCUGGAAGAAAAGCGGAAACAAAAGUAUCGUCUCAUCAGUAACCAUCAUAACGGUACUUUUUAAAUCAACAUUCCUGACCCAUGGAACACUCGCUGGCAGAAAGGUGUCCCAGAAAAAAACUACUGGUAUCCGGUUUCUCUUACCCUUAUCAAUCUAUAUAUAUCUAUCGUGCUUAUGUAUACACUGGCUGGCCGAUCAAACCCGGCUAAUUCAAAAAGCCCAACAAGAACUUCAUAAACAGGUUAUAGGACAGAGGUCCAAGGGAAAACCUUUUUCUUGGCUCACCGUUAUCCAAGAAGGGGCAGCCCUUCUUAACAAUUCUAACCUGGUUAAUCUUUCCUCUUGUUUCCUUUGUGCUGCCCUCCAUAGGUCUCCUCCGGCACCUGAAACCUUACAUUCCAGAAACCCGGACAUGCCUGUAUCUCCCAAUCCCUGACUACUUUACUUUAUAUGGACUCAAGACAGCCCAGUCACAUGUUCCCUGGCCAUAUAAGCACCACCCCGAUAGCCUGGGGCACGACUCCCUUGGCCCAGACACUGUGGACCGUGGGACUUUGCCCAGGCUGGGUUUUUCUUCCCAAUAAAGCCUGUUUGCUCUGA